rnacentral:rRNA from 1 species
GACGAACGCUGGCGGCGUGCUUAACACAUGCAAGUCGAACGGUAAGGCCUUCGGGUACACGAGUGGCGAACGGGUGAGUAACACGUGGGUGAUCUGCCCUGCACUUUGGGAUAAGCCUGGGAAACUGGGUCUAAUACCGAAUAGGACCACGCGCUUCAUGGUGUGUGGUGGAAAGCUUUUGCGGUGUGGGAUGGGCCCGCGGCCUAUCAGCUUGUUGGUGGGGUAAUGGCCUACCAAGGCGACGACGGGUAGCCGGCCUGGGAGGGUGACCGGCCACACUGGGACUGAGAUACGGCCCAGACUCCUACGGGAGGCAGCAGUGGGGAAUAUUGCACAAUGGGCGCAAGCCUGAUGCAGCGACGCCGCGUGAGGGAUGACGGCCUUCGGGUUGUAAACCUCUUUCAGUAGGGACGAAGCGCAAGUGACGGUACCUAUAGAAGAAGGACCGGCCAACUACGUGCCAGCCGCCGCCUGUAACAC